GAUGAAGAACGUAGCGAAAUGCGAUAAGUAAUGUGAAUUGCAGAAUUCAGUGAAUCAUCGAAUCUUUGAACGCACCUUGCACCCUUUGGCAUUCCGAAGGGUAUGCUCGUUUGAGUGUCAUUGUACUCUCACACUCUCCGAUCCUAUGGAUUCGGGGAGCGGUGGACUUGGGUGUUGCUGCCUUUCCUUGUGGCUCACCUCAAAUGUGUCAGUGCACCUCUUGGUUGGACAUAGUACGGCGUGAUAAGUGUCUUCGCCGGCACCUCGCAAGAGGGUGGCCGAUCGGGAGCUCUGUGCUUUCACACCGUCUUCGGACAAUUUCUGACAACUUGACCUCAAAUCGAGUAGGACUACCCGCUGAACUUAAGCAUAUCAAUAAGCGGAGGA
rnacentral:misc_RNA from 1 species